rnacentral:rRNA from 1 species
CAAUCUACCUUACCGUCCGGGAUAACUAGCCGAAAGGGUUAGCUAACACCAGAUGCGCUCAUCGAACGGCAUCGUUUGAUGAUGAAAGCAGUAAUGCGCGGUUUGAGGAGCCUGCGGCCCAUUAGCUAGUUGGUGAGGUAAUGGCCCACCAAGGCAACGAUGGGUAGCUGGUCUGAGAGGACGACCAGCCACACUGGGACUGAGACACGGCCCAG